GACGAACGCUGGCGGCGUGCUUAACACAUGCAAGUCGAACGAAGAGCGAUGGAAGCUUGCUUCUAUCAAUCUUAGUGGCGAACGGGUGAGUAACGCGUAAUCAACCUGCCCUUCAGAGGGGGACAACAGUUGGAAACGACUGCUAAUACCGCAUACGAUCUAACCUCGGCAUCGAGGAUAGAUGAAAGGUGGCCUCUACAUGUAAGCUAUCACUGAAGGAGGGGAUUGCGUCUGAUUAGCUAGUUGGAGGGGUAACGGCCCACCAAGGCGAUGAUCAGUAGCCGGUCUGAGAGGAUGAACGGCCACAUUGGGACUGAGACACGGCCCAGACUCCUACGGGAGGCAGCAGUGGGGAAUCUUCCGCAAUGGACGAAAGUCUGACGGAGCAACGCCGCGUGAGUGAUGACGGCCUUCGGGUUGUAAAGCUCUGUUAAUCGGGACGAAAGGCCUUCUUGCGAAUAGUGAGAAG
rnacentral:rRNA from 1 species